rnacentral:rRNA from 1 species
CCUACGGGAGGCAGCAGUGAGGAAUAUUUGUCAAUGGGCGCGAGCCUGAACCAGCCAAGUAGCGUGAAGGCUGACUGCCCUACGGGUUGUAAACUUCUUUUAUAAAGGAAUAAAGUGAGGCACGUGUGCCUUUUUGUAUGUACUUUAUGAAUAAGGAUCGGCUAACUCCGUGCCAGCAGCCGCGGUAAUACGGAGGAUCCGAGCGUUAUCCGGAUUUAUGGGGUUUAAAGGGAGCGUAGAUGGGUUGUUAAGUCAGUUGUGAAAGUUUGCGGCUCAACCGUAAAAUUGCAAUUGAUACUGGCAGACUUGAGUAAAGUUGAGGUAGGCGGAAUUCGUGGUGUAGCGGUGAAAUGCUUAGAUAUCACGAAGAACGCCGAUGGCGAAGGCAGCCUACUAAACUUCCACUGACAUUGAUGCUCGAAAGUGUGGGUAUCAAACAGGAUUAGAUACCCUUGUAGUC